UAGCUGACACUUGGUAAGUGUUUAGUAGGUGAUUAAGUGGGCGUUGAAUUACAUACAUUGACUGGACUCGCCACUAGGGGAAGAUAAGUCAUCCUAUUUAGGUUCACAGCUAGCUGGUGUUUUCGAAAUAGAUUCCUAAACCGCUGUGUCAUGAGGAAACACAAAGAAAGCAGUGUGUUGCUGAAGACGGUGUAUACCGUUUAGAGUUGCUAGAUUUAACAAAAAUACAGGACACCCAGUUAAAUUUAAAUCGAAUUUUAAUUUCAGGUAAACAAUACAUAAUUUUUUAGUAUAAGUCUGUCCCAAAUAUUGCAUGAAACAUAAACUGAAAAGUUUUUUGUUAUUUGUCUGAAAUUACAGAUGGGCCACAAAGAUGACUUCUACAUGUCUAUGUGACAGAAUUCAUUUAGAAGAUUUCAAAACUUGUUUUAUACUAAAAAAUUCAUAAUCAUCUCUAUGUAAAAUGCCAGAGUAUUCAAAGCAUUGUACAACAACAAAAUUUUUUUAGUAAUAUCCCAUGCAAUAUUUGGGACAUACACUAAAACAUUAUUCAUCUGCUUAUGUGAAAGCAUAAUUUUAAUUUUGUAUUUUUAUCGGGCGACGCUGAGGAUGUUAAGUUUCAAAAAUACUACUAGCCCUCCCAACACCUCCCAAACCAAUAUAAAUAAUGUUUCAUACAGAAAUGUAUACUAGCUUCAUCACACAUAAUGUUUUAUUCACAAUUUAAAACAAUGUUUAAGGGACUUCCCUGGUGGCGCAGUGGUUACGAAUCUGCCUGCCAAUGCAGGGGACACGGGUUCGAUCCCUGGUCCAGGAAGAUCCCACAUGCUGCGGAGCAACAAAGCCCGUGUGCCACAACUACCGAGCCUGCGCUCUGGAGCCUGCGAGCCAUGACUACUGAGCCCGCGUGUAGCAGCUACUGAAGCCUGAGCGCUUAGAGCCCGUGCUCUGCAAUAAGAGAAGCCACCACAAUGAGAAGCCCGCGCACCGCAACGAAGAGUAGCCCCCGCUAGCCGCAACUAGAGAAAAUCAGCACGCAGCAACGAAGACCAAACGCAGCCUAAAUAAAUAAACAGUGUUUAAGACAGUCAACAUUGCAAGCCAGAAAAAUGAAUGCUAAUCUAAUUCUGUCCCAAUAUGAAGGCGUUGAGGGAGGCAGCUCCGUGGGGUGGGGACCUUCUGAAGAAUCUGGCCAGCUACCACCUUGCACUCACUUCUCAGCUGGCUCUGUUCACAUGUUCUUUCACAUCACAGUUACUCACAUGCUUGUCUUUCCUGCCGGACUGUGAGCAGCAUGAGGUGAAGGGCUAUAUUCGUUUGUCUUUGAUUCCUCAGGCCAAAUGGUGCCCAACAUACCGUGAGUAGUUGCUCAAAAAAGGGAUCUGUUGAAUUGAAAUGAAUUCACUGUUUCACUUAGAGUUAUUUCUUUCAGAUCACUCUCCAAGGGUAGGAUUGCUUGGUUAAAAAGCCAGAAUAGGACUUCCCUGUUGGUCCAGUGGUUAAGACUCCACCCUACCUAAGCUGGGACGAAGUGAGAGAGUGGCAUGGAUAUAUAUAUACACUACCAGAUGCAAAAUAGAUAGCUAGUGGGAAGCAGCCGUAUAGCACAGGGAGAUCAGCGCGGUGCUUUGUGACCACCUAGAGGGGUGGGAUAGGGAGGGUCGGAGGGAGACGCGAGACGGAGGGGAUAUGGGGAUAUAUGUAUACGUAUAGCUGAUUCACUUUGUUAUACAGCAGAAACUAACACACCAUUGUAAAGCAAUUAUACUCCAAUAAAGAUGU
ensembl:lncRNA